UUGCGGUGAUGACGUGAAUCUGUCAAUCCCCUGAGUGCAAUCACUGAUGUCUCCAUGUCUCUGAGCAA
ensembl:snoRNA SNORD110 small nucleolar RNA, C/D box 110